GCUUCGAUCGUCUAGUUGGUUAGGAUGAUGCAUUGUGGUUCUUACUACAAUACUGCAUUGACGGCAGUUCGAAUCCGCCUCGGAGCA
rfam:Verticillium longisporum isolate VL1 genome assembly, contig: scaffold_179